AGAGCAGCAGGGUUCCUUCAUUGUCAGUGCUUUUUCUUUCCCAACUUCCCCCAAUGUGUUUUUUUUUGUUUUUUUGUUUUUUUUAAAAUAAAACUUUGGCUAACCUGGCAAUCUAUGAAAGAGGGGUUCCACUAAGUGAUUUAAACAUGAUUUGAUUCUCUUUGUCCUGUUGCUCUUUCGCUUCAAUGGGACAUGGAUCAGGAAAUUAUUUCUAGGUGUUUAUAUGAGGAAAGAGGAAAAGCUGCUGAGAGUUAAUCUUUUAGACAAUCCAACAGAAUCUGAAAUAUCAAAAACUAUCCUUCCAAAAGAAAACUAUCAACUCUUUCAACAUUUUUUGAAUCUUUCUUUGAAGCUUUAGCCAAAUAGAAGAUAAAUGUAAAAGACCCAAGUGACCACCUGGUAAUUACUUCAACAGCAGAGCGACUCAUACAGCCAGCAAUCCACUUUGUUGUGAUCUGUAGAUCCUGCCUGUGGUGUUGGAUCUAACAGCUUCUUCCCUGACCCAAGAUUAUGAAGGAUUUCUCCUGUGUUCUCUUCUAAAAAUUUUACAUUUAGGUAUAUAAUCCAUUUUGAGCUAAUUCUUUUAAAUAGUGCAAAGUAUGGAUUGAAGUUCUUUUUUUUUUUUUUGCAGAUACAUAUUUAAUUUUUCCAGCACCAUUUGUUGAAAAGACUAAUGUUCUUGCCUGAAUAGCCUUUGCAUUGUUGUUGAAAAUCAUGUUCACACAUGUACACAUUCCACUGAACUAUUUGCCUCUUUGUGAAAAUACUACUAUUUUGAUUAAUAUAGAUUUAUAGGGAGUCUUAAAAUCAUAUCUUAAAAAGAUAGUGGAAGUUAUUUAACCUUACUCUUGUUUUUAGAAAUUGUUUUGGAUAAUCUAGAUCUUUUGCGUUUCCAUAUAAAUUUUAUAAUCAGUUUGGCAAUUUAUUUAAAAUAUUCUUCUGGGAUUUUGAUGGACAUUAUGCUGAAUCGAUGGAUCGCUUUGGGGAGAACUGACAUCUUAACAAUAUUGAGUCAUCUAACAUAUGAUCAUGGAAAUUGCUCCAGUUAUUUAGAUCUUUCACAUCUUGAAGCAGUGUUUUACAGUUUUCAGUGUAUAGAUAGUUAAUAGAUUUAAAAAUAUGAUCCCUAAAUAUUCAAUGUUUUUGAUGCUAUUGGAAUUUUAAAAAAUUAAUUUCUGUUCUGAGGAAGGAAAAUAAUAAAAGAUUAAACAAGAAAAAUAAAAGAAUCAAAAUAAAAGAUAAAUCAUUGACAAAUAUAAAAAAAUAACAAAAAUAA
rnacentral:lncRNA from 1 species